rnacentral:rRNA from 1 species
CGAACGCUGGCGGCGUGCCUAACACAUGCAAGUCGUGCGAGAAAGCCCCUUCGGGGGUGAGUACAGCGGCGGACGGGUGAGUAACACGUGAGUGAUCUACCCGGCGAUGGGGGACAACCCAGGGAAACCUGGGCUAAUACCGCAUACAGCGGAGGGAGUAGGUGCCCUUCGUGAAAGCUGGCCUCUCCAUGGAAGCUAGCGUCGCCGGAGGAGCUCGCGGCCUAUCAGCUUGUUGGUGGGGUAACGGCCUACCAAGGCUAUGGACGGGUAGCUGACGUGAGAGCGUGAGCAGCCACACUGGGACUGAGACACGGCCCAGACUCCGUACGGGAGGCAGCAGGUGGGGAAUAUUGCGCAAGUGGGACGAAAGCCUGACGCAGCGACGCCGCGGUGGGGGAGGAAAGCCGUUAGGGUUAGUAAACCCCUGUCAGGUGGGACGAACCCCGGGUCGGUGAAUAAUCGGCUCGACUGACGGUACCACCAGAGGAAGCUCCGGCUAACUCCGUG